AUUGAACGCUGGCGGCAUGCUUUACACAUGCAAGUCGAACGGUAACAGGGUGCUUGCACCGCUGACGAGUGGCGAACGGGUGAGUAAUGCGUCGGAACGUGCCGAGUAGUGGGGGAUAACGCAGCGAAAGUUGUGCUAAUACCGCAUACGUACUGAGGUAGAAAGUGGGGGACCUUCGGGCCUCACGCUAUUCGAGCGGCCGACGUCUGAUUAGCUAGUAGGUGAGGUAAAGGCUCACCUAGGCGACGAUCAGUAGCGGGUCUGAGAGGAUGAUCCGCCACACUGGGACUGAGACACGGCCCAGACUCCUACGGGAGGCAGCAGUGGGGAAUUUUGGACAAUGGGCGAAAGCCUGAUCCAGCCAUGCCGCGUGUCUGAAGAAGGCCUUCGGGUUGUAAAGGACUUUUGUCAGGGAGGAAAUCCCUAGUGCUAAUAACACUGGGGGAUGACAGUACCUGAAGAAUAAGCACCGGCUAACUACGUGCCAGCAGCCGCGGUAAAAC
rnacentral:rRNA from 1 species